CGACCUUCGAUACGGGAGUAUUGAAGAUGAAAGAUUUAUUGCUCAAGGAGGGGCCCGCGGUCGAUUAGCUAGUUGGUGGGGUAAUGGCCUACCAAGGCUGUGAUCGAUAGCUGGUCUGAGAGGAUGAUCAGUCACACGGGAACUGAGACACGGUCCCGACUCCUACGGGGGGCAGCAGUGAGGAAUAUUGCACAAUGGGGGAAACCCUGAUGCAGCAACGCCGCGUGGAGGAUGACAGCCCUUGGGUUGUAAACUCCUUUUCUGUGGGACGAGAGAGGACGGUACCACAGGAAUAAGUCACGGCUAACUACGUGCCAGCAGCCGCGGUAAUACGUAGGUGGCGAGCGUUAUCCGGAAUUACUGGGCGUAAAGCGUACGCAGGCGGCUUGUUUAGUCUGACGUGAAAUCUCCCGGCUUAACUGGGAGAGGUCGUUGGAAACUGACAAGCUUGAGGCAAUGAGAGGGGCAUG
rnacentral:rRNA from 1 species